rnacentral:pre_miRNA from 1 species
UAUAUUAUGUAUAAAAUAUAUACACAUACAUAUAUGUUUACAUAUAUAAUAUAUUAUAGUAUAUAUGUAUAUUUUAUGCAUA